rnacentral:misc_RNA from 1 species
GGAGACUACAUGUUUUCUGCAUAUAUGACCAUAAAUUUAACAAUCAUCAAUUCAAAAGAAGUACUAAUAUUACACAAGAAGAACCAUUUCUAUAGCUACUUUUAUUCCUCUUUCUCCUAUUAUAGUAACCCCAUAACCAUUCCACUCUCAAUGAUAUACUUGUCCAAAAGAAAUUUGAGUACUAUAAUAUAUAUGGAGCUCAAACAUGUAAAGCUCAUGACAAGGUUCAAAAGUGACGCGGCCCUUCAAGAUAGAGGCUUCAGCCAUCGUUAGAAUUCUUAGCUGAGGAGAGGAUCUACUUUUUUCUAUUCUUGUGGCUGACAUUGGUCUUUGGAGAACAUGAAGAGGAGGAAGACGUAGAGAAGCCCGCCCAGUUCUUUUCAGCUUUGUCUUUCUUGAAUGCCUCCAUAACUUCAUCCUUGAGCUCUGUGUAUCGCAUUUUCUUUGAUCUUUGUUCCUCAGGGGUGCCACUUUCUAACAUCAAGGAAUCUAGUUUGUCAUCCUCCAGUAAUCUAUCUAAUACUUCCGAGCAGUUUGGGAAAAAACGUCGACCUGUGUCCACUGUUUUCAGUAGUGCGCCCAGCCGAUCUUGGAGUCUUUUCACUUGCUCAGACGGUAAUUUGUUCAAGUCAACCCCUCCCGGAUUUUUGCAUAAGCCAUUUGUUGCUGAAAGGCCAGUAAACUCUGCGGUUGAAUCAGCAUGUGCUAUUUCCAUAGCUAGCAUGGCUUCCUGAGGAAAUAACAUCCGUGCCAAUGCCACUCUAUUUUCAAAUAAAAGCAACCUCAUGAGUAAUUCAUCAGCCAACACCAAUGAUGAAGAACACAUGCUCCCAAUCAUAGGAUUCCUAAUCAUCUCUCUCUCCAAAACAUCAAUGCAUAACCGGUCUUUAUUAGUAACCUUUCCUUGCUUCGGUGGAUCAUUGUAAUCCUUUAACCGAGUCAAUCUACGGCAUAUGGAUAGGGCUGUAUGUCCAUCACGUGUAGUAUCCAAGACGGAUGCUCCUUUUGCAAGUAGUCCCAUUAUUAUUGAUGGCUCCUUUCGUCUAGCUGCAACAUGUAGGACAUUAUAUCCUCGGGAGUUCUGAAGAUUGACAUCAGCGCCUAAACCCAGCUCAAGUACCUCGUUCACAACCUUGGAGUUGCAAUAGGCAGCUGCAUAAUGAAGAGCACAAGCAUCAUUUAAAGUGACGUUUGACUCUUCCAGGAGUAGUGUUAGCAAUUCAAUGUCAUCAGACUCCAGAGCCUUCAGAAUCCUCCUAAUUCUCUUUUCACUCAAGGAGUCUAAUGACUCCUGUUCAGUCCCUUGUCGAGACUUGAGGCGCCUUGAUUUUAUGUCAGUCAAAACUUCAUGAGGGAGUUCUUUCUCAAGAGUAGCAUUGUCUAGAUCAGAUCGUGCCACUCUCUGGAUGCAGUGUUCAAGAAGUUGAUUAGACUUGCGGUGAAAGGCAACUAAAAGUAUAGGAAUUACAUCCUCAGGAGUAGCCUUAUCAACAAAGUUGUCGAGAUAGCGCUCUACGAACAUAACGAGUUCUUUUAUCUGAAAAGUGGACGAAGCAUACAUGAGUUCCACUGCAUAAUUAAUGGCAGGGCGGCAAGCAUCAUGAGCACAAGCAUUAUCAACACAACUCGAAACUUCUGAAGGAGACGACUUAAUCUUUCCUGUAUAUAAAUAAUUCAGGAGGACCAUGAAUACUUCAUAGCCAAUUGAGGAAACACACACCAAAUCCUUCAGCAAAUAUUUAGGCUUUUCAUUUUUCAAGGAAUUCUCAUUCUUCUCCUUAAACUUUUCAUGGAAAAACUGACUUCGUGCAGCCAAUAUACAGCGAUUAACGCCAACAUUAAUCCCCUCAACGACAAUUUCUGCAUCACUAUAGUCAUAUUCAGGAUUAAGCAGGAGUUUCUCAAGACUACCACAUAAAUUACUCAAAUGAUCAACAUUUGGUCCUGGUUCCUGGGGACUACUGCACUCAUUUGAUACAUUAGAAGAUGUAGCAAAACUCUCAUGGCCGCUCUCCAUUGUUCAAACUUAAUUACUGCCUUGGUAAAUAAACUAGCAAGAAUUCAUCCCUCAAGAGAAAGCACAAAACUUUCAGGAAUCUGAAAAAGUUGAAAACUAAAGUCAACAGGUCAACUCUGCAUGAUCUUGGCCCAAACUUUCACACCUGCAAGCCUGGCUGCUGCUGGUGAAAUCCCAUCAUUCUAACAUAAACAUGAAAACUCCCAAAAAAUAAAAAAAAGUGAUUCUGCAUACCCCAAAUAUGUAUUGUGGAAGAAAGUUGCACUCUGCUGACUGAUGACCCAAAAACUAGUGUAAAAAGUGAUUGCUUGUUGUGACAGAAUGAAGUAAGUAAUGACUUUGAGUUGGAAAUAAAAGAGUGAAAUGAAAAAAAAAAGAGAGAA